AGCGAACGCUAGCGGCGGGCUUAACACAUGCAAGUCGAGCGCUUCUCUUCGGAGGAGAGCGGCGAACGGGUGAGUAACACGUAGGUUAUCUACCCUUUGGUGGGGAAUAACCCAGGGAAACUUGGGCUAAUACCGCAUAUGGCCUUCGGGUCAAAGGCUUCGGCCGCCAGAGGAUGAGCCUGCGUCCCAUUACCUAGUUGGUAGGGUAACGGCCUACCAAGGGAACGAUGGGUAGCUGGUCUGAGAGGAUGAUCAGCCACACUGGGACUGAGACACGGCCCAG
rnacentral:rRNA from 1 species